AGUUUAUCAAUUUGACUAUGUAUUUGAUUGGACAAUACUGAAGUAUCCACAAAUUGGCUCCAGUUCCAGAACACAAGCAAGUGCAAAACCAGCUUUGAACCCUGGACCUUCUGCAGAAAGAACAGAAAGGCCUUCAGUGGGACAAGAUUUUCGAGAUAGAUUCUCAGGUGUGGUUGAAGCAUUUUCUAGAAGGAAUGGUUAUGGGCAUGGUUCACAUGGUGAUAACUCCAGACAUAGAU